AUUAAUAAGACAGGAAGCUCAUCAGAAUCAGCAUCCUUAAGAAAUUAAAAUAAACAUCAAAUUUCCAGUUUUUGCAUCAAAUCAAAAGAACCAGUACCCAUUUUCACUGGUAAUCCAAGACAUAUCCUAGCAGACGGUGUCUCCAAGUUGUCGGUUUCACCAUGCAGUGCUGCUUCAACAAUGAAUUUAGAGGCUGUCUCAAAAGACAUUUUACUAAAAGGCGAUGUCAACUCUGCUAUGCCCCC
rnacentral:misc_RNA from 1 species